rnacentral:RNase_P_RNA from 1 species
GAAUUCUGGCAAUCGCUCCGGCUACCGGCCGGAGAGGAAAGUCCAUGCUCGCACGGACCUGAGAUGGCCGUAGUGAUCGCGCUUAGCGAAACAAUAAGCUAAGGCAGCUGCUUUUGCAGUUGACGGCGGGUAGAACACCUAAGUCUUCGGAUAUGGUCGAAAUACCCUGAAAGUGCCACAGUGACGGAGCUGCAUAAGAAAUUAUGCAGGUGGAACGAGGUAAACCCCGCGAGUGAGAAACCCAAACUAUGGUAGGGGCACUUUUCCAAAGGAAUUGAACUGAGGAAAAGGCAGGAGCAGUCCUGCAGAUAGAUGGUUGCCUUCCAAGUGUACAAGGCGAGAGCCGUUUGAGUACGUGGAAAACAAAACAUGGCUUAUAGAA